GGCAGAAGGGUGACCUGGCUGCGACAUCUACACCCCACGGACUGCCAGGGUUGAUUCGGCUGAUCUGGCUGGCUAGGCGGGUGUCCCAUGUGUGUCCCUCCCAGAGCUGCGCGCUCAUCCCAAGGGACACCUGCCCGCCGUUGCUCAGUCAAGGGUACAGGGGUUGCCGUGCUCCCUUGCUAGAGCCUCCAAACAAGCUCUACAGCCACAUUCAUUUACCUUAAUUGUUGGCAGCAGUUCAGCUUUCCAUGACAGGUCAA
rnacentral:snRNA from 1 species